UAUCUCUGGAGACACCUGUUAAAUCAGGGGCCGAAGGUGCAAGCGACGUGGUUUACGUCUUGAAUCUCUCAGGCAAAAGGACAGAGGAU
rnacentral:ncRNA from 1 species